UACGUAGGGGGCAAGCGUUGUCCGGAAUCACUGGGCUUAAAGCGUGUGUAGGCGGAUCGUUAAGUGCCUUGUGAAAUCCCACGGCUCAACCGUGGAACUGCUUGGCAUACUGGCGGUCUUGAGCAACCUAGGGGCGAGCGGAACAAAUGGUGGAGCGGUGAAAUGCGUAGAUAUCAUUUGGAACGCCAAUGGUGAAAACAGCUCGCUGGGGGUUUGCUGACGCUGAGACACGAAAGCCAGGGGAGCAAACGGG
rnacentral:rRNA from 1 species